ACGAACGCUGGCGGCGUGCCUAAUACAUGCAAGUCGAGCGGACGAAUCGAAAGCUUGCUUUUGAUUCGUUAGCGGCGGACGGGUGAGUAACACGUGGGCAACCUGCCCUGUAGACGGGGAUAACACCGAGAAAUCGGUGCUAAUACCGGAUAACACGAAAUGUCGCAUGACGUUUCGUUGAAAGACGGCGCAAGCUGCCGCUACAGGAUGGGCCCGCGGCGCAUUAGCUAGUUGGUGAGGUAACGGCUCACCAAGGCGACGAUACGUAGCCGACCUGAGAGGGUGAUCGGCCACACUGGGACUGAGACACGGCCCAGACUCCUACGGGAGGCAGCAGUAGGGAAUCUUCCGCAAUGGACGAAAGUCUGACGGAGCAACGCCGCGUGAGCGAAGAAGGCCUUCGGGUCGUAAAGCUCUGUUGUUAGGGAAGAACAAGUAACGCAGUAACUGGCGUUACCGUGACGGUACCUAACGAGAAAGCCACGGCUAACUACGUG
rnacentral:rRNA from 1 species